AACGAACACUGGCGGCGUGCCUAACACAUGCAAGUCGUGCGAGAAAGUUCCUUCGGGAGCGAGUAAAGCGGCGCACGGGUGAGUAACACGUAGGUAACCUGCCCCCCAGUCUGGAACAACUAGAGGAAACUCUAGCUAAUGCCGGAUGAGACCACGAUCCCUUCGGGGGUUGCGGCCAAAGAUGGCCUCUACUUGUAAGCUAUCGCUGAGGGAUGGGCCUGCGGGCCAUUAGCUUGUUGGUGAGGUAACGGCUCACCAAGGCUGUGAUGGCUAGCUGGUCUGAGAGGAUGACCAGCCACACUGGGACUGAGACACGGCCCAGACUCCUACGGGAGGCAGCAGUGGGGAAUAUUGCGCAAUGGGCGAAAGCCUGACGCAGCGACGCCGCGUGGGUGAUGAAGGCCUCGGUCGUAAGACC
rnacentral:rRNA from 1 species